CGACCUCAGUAUCAGCUGCUGGAGCCGGACUCCACCCAUGACCUCAAUCGAAAGGAGGACCCCUCCCAGACUCCUACAAAGGCCAAACUCCGACCACUGCCGAGCCUCGAUCAACAGAUCCGCGCCCCUUGGCAGAUCACAAUAACAACCAUGAUCCUGUUCCACUUCCUGUAGCGGAUUCCGUGCGGCUCCAUCACCCCUUGCGGCA
rnacentral:lncRNA from 1 species